ACUUGGCUGGCUUUGGUUGGCUGGUUCAAUAAGGCUGGUUUUGGUUGGCUACUUUAAUUAAAAAAAAUUCACAUGGCUGGCCACGCCACGCCCCUCAUUUUUCACCAUAAGCUUGUGGAUCCUACCCUCAUCACGUGUCGAGCAAUGCCCCCAACCCAAGCCCCUCCACUGUCUGCAGUCUUAAAGACUUUUGUAUUCGGAUUAUCUAUAUUAUGGUUUAAAUAUAUGAAUAGUCCAUUAAAUUAAAGGUUAAAGCCAAAACUAAUAUGUUUUUUUCAUGACAUCAACUCUUCAACGACAUGCUAUGUGCUUUUUUGUUUUCUCAAAGAAAAUAUGAUGUUGAUAAAUCUUGGAUUUUUUAAUGAUAACCAUUAUUUUAAUCAUUGUACGUUAAGUGGUCAAGUUCCUUGUUUUGAUUUACAUCUGAAGUAAUCAUAUUGAUUUGCAACUGCAACUGUAUGGAAAUAGAUUGCUUCAUUCCAAUUCUAAGUUUGUCUCUAAAUAUUCAUAUGUUCUAUCUGGUUGAGUAACAUGAUAAACUUGCCCCAGUUUUGUCCUGUUUGUGUUUCUUGGCGCUCUGAUGGAAGGAGCUUGUGGAGAAAGCACGAUCUCAGCAGCUACAGCCCCAUGUAUACAACUCAGGGACUUUCACUCUCUCCAACUUAGGAAUGUUUGGAGUGGAUCGCUUUGAUGCUAUUCUACCACCUGGGCAGG